GUCCAUUCUCAUCAGGAUGAAACUUCUGCAGGUAGCUUACAAUACUUCGAUGCUCUGAUAUAAUCUGUGCUAACGGUUUAGAUGGGAUAAAUUCCAACAUGCCCUCAUCAUGUCCAGUUGCCAAUACUCUGUAUGGAGUCAAAUGCAAAUCAAGAUUCUCCAAUUUGAGCAAUCGGUCCAUAAGUGACACCAUCUGGACAACCAGCUGGUCUUGUCGAAGAUCAUCUCCUUUCUUAAAUAUGAUCUUGCAACAUCCACCAUUUGCUGUUCUAAAUGUCAACCGCAAUGGAUGCAAUGCGCUUUUAAAUAUUGAGGACUCUGAUGGGAUGAUCCCAGUGAUCAACAUACCAGGGGCCAGAGGAGAUCGUAUUGGCUCGUCAAAGUAAGUGAGCUCACUAAGGAGGCCAGAAAGAAGCUGCCUAAGCUUUUCAAUUUUCUUUUGUGUGCCACCACGAACAUUUCUUACAUCCCUCAUUAUA
rnacentral:misc_RNA from 1 species